ACCAAAGCUAACUAGGUGUUUAGCACAUUGACUUUUCACGUCAAAAGAGCACCCUGUGCAUUUAGCUA
rnacentral:tRNA from 1 species